AACGUUUACUUUUUUUGCAGAAAUUUCAGAGGUUUUCAGAGACAAAAUUUCCGAGCCCAACAACCAUCCUUGAAUGACUUUUUUACUCCCAGGAAUCUACUUCCUAGACAAUCAUCGCAGCCAUCAUUUACUGGGGCGUUGGCUCCAAGUAUAGGAGGACGUCAGCGAACGAGAGAGAAGUUUGGGCGCUCAGCGAUAAGUUCGAGGGGUCAGCAGCAGCUGACAAUAGGUGGACGGGCUGUGCGCCCCAGUUAUCUGGAUCCGGCCAAUUUUCGUUUACCGUCCUUGACACUGAAGCAUAUGGAGUCAACAUUGGCGGAGAUAGAGAGGCACAUGCGGGCCAAAGGAAGCAACCCCGCAGAUUACACCAGCUCACGACUCCUCAUCACAUUGCUACGUGAACAGUGCGCCAGAAUGAGGCCAUUCGGGGACACACGUCUUCAAAUGUUCUGUAACCAAUUCAACGCCCGAUUUAGGUCGCUCUUCUUUUAAAGAAUGGUGGCAUUUUGGAGGAAGGAAAACAAGAGUCGAGGUUCUACAUCUGAAUAUUAUGACUGGUGCGUGUGGAUUCCCUGUGUCCCUUGUAUUAGGCCUACAAGGAUUUCAACUGAAUGGGGACAGUUUAUUCAGACAACAGUUUGACGACUCAGAAACUUUUGACAAGUUGACCUAGAAGUACAAGAAAGCGCAGCUCUAUUGGAUGACUUUGAGAAGAUUCAAGAACUAGAAGUAUAAGUUGACAUGUAUCGCCUUUUUCAGAACCACCUCUAGCAGGUUGUCAAAGAACAAACAACAAACAAACAAUUAAACAACAAACAAACAAACCAACGAAUCAAAAACGAACAAAAGCACAAAAAAGAAAAGAAAAGAAACCAAUUUUUUAAAUGGUCACGUUGUAAACGUAUGCUCUUAAAGUAAGCAAUUGUAUUCGUUAAAUUGUUGUCUUUUGUGUCAUAACUAAAUCUGGAAAAAAUGUGCUUGUAAAAACACCCGUGUGGGAGAUGAUGAAGUUUAAGGUUAUGAAAGAUCUGCCUGUGAAUUGUUCUACAGAGAAUAAACAUAUGACCGCAUUGUUAUUAUCAUCAA